GGGCGUGUGGUCUAGUGGUAUGAUUCUCGCUUUGGGUGCGAGAGGUCCUGGGUUCAAUUCCCAGUAUGCCCC
rnacentral:tRNA from 1 species